AUGUCAAAUUUCACAUGCAUCGUGUUUAUAUAUGCAAUCAGUACAAAUUUGAAAAAGCCCGCGGCAACGCACGGGCAGUGUACUAGUCUUUAUAAAGGAGUAGAUGGUGUUAUUAGACGUUGUGUACCUAAGCAUGAACAGGAACAGAUCCUAUGCAAGUGUCACUCCGAAGCUUAUGGAGGACACCAUGCUGGAGAUAGAACUGCACAUAAGGUAUUGCAAUCUGGUUUUUAUUGGCCUACUCUCUUCAAGGACACCCGUAAGUUUGUCCUAUCUUGUGUUCAAUGUCAAAGAAUUGGUAAUAUUAGUAGACGUCAAGAAAUGCCUAUGAAUUAUUCACUGCUUAUUGAACCAUUUGAUGUUUGGGGCUUUGACUAUAUGGGACCCUUUCCUUUAAUGGUUAUACAUAUAUUCUAG
rnacentral:rRNA from 1 species